rnacentral:rRNA from 1 species
GACGAACGCUGGCGGCGUGCUUAACACAUGCAAGUCGAACGAUGAACCCGGAGCUUGCUCUGGGGGAUUAGUGGCGAACGGGUGAGUAACACGUGAGUAACCUGCCCUGGACUCUGGGAUAAGCGUUGGAAACGACGUCUAAUACCGGAUAGGACCUUGGAUCGCAUGAUCUGGGGUGGAAAGUUUUUUCGGUCUGGGAUGGACUCGCGGCCUAUCAGCUUGUUGGUGAGGUAAUGGCUCACCAAGGCGUCGACGGGUAGCCGGCCUGAGAGGGUGACCGGUCACACUGGGACUGAGACACGGCCCAGACUCCUACGGGAGGCAGCAGUGGGGAAUAUUGCACAAUGGGCGAAAGCCUGAUGCAGCAACGCCGCGUGCGGGAUGACGGCCUUCGGGUUGUAAACCGCUUUUAGUAGGGAAGAAGGGCUUCGGCUUGACGGUACCUGCAGAAAAAGGACCGGCUAACUACGUG